UUAAGAACACAAAUGGAACGCUAAAUAUUUGUGCUCUAGGAAAUUCUUGGGAAGAAUGAGAAAAUACCUGCACAGAGAAACCAUAAACCUCCAAACUCUGUAUAAAUUUAAUAAUACCACUUGGCAACCACACACUCAAUUUCUUUUCUUAAAAAAAAAUCAGCCCACAUAGGAUAAAAAGACGUAGAAAUCUUGUGAAACUCAAAUGUUCUUGAUUUCCCAGAAACAACUCCAUAGAACCUUAAAAUCCCUGAAGAAUGAACAUACUAUCCUCAAAAUCUGAACAUCAUCACCCGUUAUCAUUUUCUUUCACCGACCUCAAGUCUGGCUGACAAAAUCCCGAAAACAGAAGAAAAAAAUCAAUGAAUUUACGUAGUGGCAACCCAAAACCCAGAAAAUCUUAAGAGAGGACACACCCUUCAACACCGCUAAUUCCAUUCUCAUUCAUAUCCAUUAUCCAUCCACCGCAGAAGCUGGAAAAAAUGAUAAUUUGUAUUUCAAUCCCAGCCAAAGCAAAUGCUUUGUUUUUCUCUGCUACCAAUCCCACGCCAUCUACCUCUGCCUCCCUUUUCACUCACCGGAACCCUUCAGUUCUCUCCAAAAAAUUUUGUGGGUUGCUUUCGAUUUCGAAUUCUUCAGUUCCUCCCUCACCGGGAGCUUUAUGGCGUGGUUGAGGUGGUCAUGGGUUUGGGUGGGAAGCCACUAGCGAGAUUUCCAUCUGGGGACUUUGUUUUAUCGGAUUGUCCCAUCACCCUUUAGGUUCCCCAGCAUGCUACUUCACAGGUAUUCAUAGAGGAAGUUGAAAAUCAUAUGCUCCAAGUGAGUGUGAUAGAUGAAAUCGGGACAAAACUUGAAGCAAUGGCUGUGAGUACAAUUGCACAGCAUGAGUUCAGCUAGUGGCCACUGCUCAUGGAAUCACAAUAGGAAUUUGAUAAUGAAUCCUUCUCUAGAGAUGCUUGUUGGAGGAAUAAAGAGUGUGACAGUAUGGGAUGAAGAAGCAAACUGAAGGGGUGUCCAGAAGAUGGUGAUGGAGAGGAAAGGGCCUUCAGCAUUUAGUUAUGGGGUGGAGAUAAUUUCAAAGACUGAGUUGCGAGUUCAUCGCAGUCUAGAAGCAACAGUGUAUGCUAUUCUCUUAGGUCGUUCCCCAUAUGUGGAAGUUUGCAAGAUGACCUCUCAGGGAGUAGAAGAAACUGUAGAAAAUGAACCUGCCUUGAAACAGAUGCUGAAAAGAAAGAUGAUGUUUUGGUUGAAGAUUUCCACUUGACAGAAGAAAGGAUUUGGUCAUAAUGAGUUCACUUCUGAGUCUCAUCUGGACAUGGGAGAUAAUUCUUUGGAACAUGAAGUACUGCUUCGCCUUUAUAUCUAUAGGUGUGAAAAAUACUGGAUAUGGAACUUGCAUAAAGAGGAUACAAAAUUGUCAGACAAGAUCAAUGCCCUGGAGGUACAGACUUUCAGGAAAUAGCAGCAUCAACUCGAACCAGGGAGUCAUCACUGGCCUUUGAGGAGCUGCAUGAUAUUUUUGUGGGACAUGAGUUUUAUCAAUUGCUGUCAUGAAUGGAUAGGGUUUAGGGAAAAUGGAUGUACACAAUGCAUUUCUAAAUGGUGAAUUAACUGAAAUUGUGUUUAUGGAGCAGCCCCCAAGGUUUAAAGAUUUGUCUAAAGCUAAUCAUGUUUGCAGGCUAAGACUAUGGCCUUAAACAAGCACGGGCUUGGUACACAACACUUAGAAAUGCCAUUCUUCGGUUGGGUUUUCACAGUUCCAAGGCUGUUUGUUCUCUUUUCAUUGACAGCCAAGGAUCUUACUUGGUUUAUGUUGAUGUUGAUGAUCUUGUAAUUAAAGGGAAUAAUUCAUCCUUUGUGGCAUCUGUUAUUCAACAAUUGGGUGCUAUG